UACGUAGGGGGCGAGCGUUGUCCGGAAUCAUUGGGCGUAAAGCGCGUGUAGGCGGUCCGAUAAGUUCGCUGUGAAAGUCGGGGGCUCAACCCUCGGAUGCCGGUGGAUACUGUCGGGCUCGAGUACGGAAGAGGCGAGUGGAAUUCCUGGUGUAGCGGUGAAAUGCGCAGAUAUCAGGAGGAACACCAAUGCGAAGGCAGCUCGCUGGGACGUUACUGACGCUGAGACGCGAAAGCGUGGGGAGCAAACAGG
rnacentral:rRNA from 1 species